CUUAACAUCAUGCAACAAUAAUCAUCAUGUCUUUCAGGCAGCUGUCAAUUGAAACAGAGCAGACCCAGCCAUCACUUCCUUCUUUAAAGUCCAGCAACCAAACGUUGCACAAUAACCACAGUGAUAAUUCUUGGUUACCCCAAUGUUCUCCAUAGAGUCUUCAACGUCAGCCUAAAAAUGAAAUAAAAAUGCAAUGCAGGUGGAAAUGAAAAUUCCAUAAACUAAAUAAAUAAAAAAUGCAAUGCUUGAGCUUGAGCUUGCUUUAAUGAUCAUAAUAUUGAAUUUUGAUAUAUCUUUACUUCUCUGAGGUUCAAUCAUUUACUUCUCUGUUCUUGUUUAUUCACAAGAAGUUAUCAAUAGAAGAAGAUGGAAAUGAAAUUCUAUGAAAUAAAGCAAGUGAAUUACCAGCAGAACAGUUUAGCAAUCCUUUGGCUAAACUUCUCAUUUUCUUAGCAUACUCUCCUGCCUGCAUCAUUAAAACCAAAUUAGAUUGGACCUGUGAAUUGCUAGUGUGGUUCUGACAUUUCCUCGAAUCCCUGGUGAACAUAAUUAAACUCGUAUGAAAUAAAACAAAGAGGGCUAAUGUACUACUAAAAACAAUUCCACAAUUACUUUAAAGAAUUAAUGUCACAUAAAUUAUAUAUAAAAAAAACGAUUAUCAUUAUGCAAGACAAAAUUGAUAACUAGGAAGUUUUACAUAUUUAUACCAUGAUUGAUUCUAUAUAGAACCAUUAAAUAAUAAAUAUGUUAGACUUACAUUUAUUUUUUAGCCCAAAAAGUAUGAGAGAAAUUAGUACUUUCCAAAUUUAUUUUUUGUACCGUAAAGAAUCAAAUUACUCAUAAAAUUAUUUUUAACUUUCAUGAUGCAAACAAACAAAUCAUCAUUAAUUUCAAUAGAAAGAAGUAUUCUAGGUGGAAUUGAUUUCUGGAGCAGAAUAUGAUGUAUUUGGGACUUCCUACUCUAUUAGAGAGGUUAAUAACAUGUUAAUUGUCACAUCAUUAGUUUUAGAUUAUAAAUUUUAUAUUCAAACUUUGUAUGACUGCUCCUUUUUCAUUUGAAAAAAAAAAUUAACUUCUAGCAUGAUCUAAUUAAUUGAUCUUAUUUCAAAAGAAUCAAAAAAAUAAAUAAAUAAAAUAAAGCAAUGCCAUAAUCUAAUUGGUCUUGUUAUUGACAUGUACUAAUGCAUUCUAUAUUUUUAACUUUGUACAUUUUAUUGAUAUGUACAAAUUGUCAAUGUUUGCAGUGUCGUUGUUUGAAGUAACAACAAAGUAAAAUAGAGGAGAGAAAUUACCGGUGGGUGAUAGUAAUUGCAACCAUUCGAGAAUUUACCGCCACUUGAUGUGGGGAAUGUGAGAUAUCUUAUGCCAGUCUUCUCCUUUCCCCUCUCGAUAACGGUUUUCCAGAAGAGGACAUCCCUGAAUACUCAAGUGCUGCAGCGUCGUCGUUUGAAGAAGGUAAUCCGGCAGCACCUUUAAUUUGGGGCAAUGCUUAAUUUUCAAGGAAGAAAGACGUGGCAUGAUGGAGAUGUUUUCCUUCCUCGUAAUCCUGUAAUUCCACUCUUCCAAUUCAUCCAAGAACCAAAUUUUGAGAGAUUUCAAUUUGGGGAAGGCAAUAACUGAUGAUGACGAUGAAGAUGAAGAUGGGUCGUCCCAAUAACUGCUUUCUUCUAUUCCUAAAAACUCAUUACCCACUCUUUUUACACCAAUCAAAUUGCAUAGGAUGAGUUUUUCCAGAGGCAAUUUUCCCAAAGGAGGCAAAUGCUCACAGUUAAAACACAAGGAAAGAUAUAAAUUCCUUAGAUUGGUUAGUGAAGUCAACCAUUUGGGAAAAAUGACGCCUCCAUAGGAUUCAAUCCAUAAUUCCUCUACAUUCAAAGGCGGUUGUAAGGCUUCAAGAAGUUGUUUAUCUUUCUCGUUCUUCCUCCUCCUUUCUUCGCCUUCCCCAUCUACGACUACACCAAACUCAAGACGCAAACGAAGGAGGUUUUUCUUAUUGUAAAGUUGUAACCUCUCAGCCUCAUCUACAUGCGAUACAUUACUCAGCCCUUCUAUUCCACAUUCUCGAAGGAGUUGAAGAUUUUUCAGAGAUUCAAGCCUACACGUGCUGCCACCAUCAACACCUCCACCCACAACAAACUUUUCUAAUGUUCGAAGGCUGGUCAAUCUGGAAAUCCCUAUUGGCAGGUACUUCAGCUUUUCAGUUUGAUCAUUCAGUAAACUCCUCAUGUUCUUUAACUUCCCAAUCCCCGCAGGCAAUUCUCUAAGAUAUUUGCACCGCCUAAUAUCUAGUUUUUGUAAAUUAUAUAAUUCACACAAAGUCUCAGGUAGUCUCGCUAUAUACAAUUUAGACAACUUAAGAUAUUUUAAAUGUAUCAAUUUUCCAACAUUAUCUGGAAUUUCUGUAAUCCAAUUUGUGUCUUCAUACAAAAGCUUGGUCGAUUGGCUUAUAACUAAUGCCCUUAAACAUGCCAAUUUACUAAAUAACUCCCGAAGGAUGCUACUGUUAAGAGAUAAAUUGACAAAACUUUGGUCAUAAAUUAAUAGGGUACGCAAUCUAUUAAGUCCAUAAAUGGUCAUAGGAAAUGAAGCUCCUCCUCCAAAAUUUAACCCUAAGUGACGGACUUUGUCACCAAAAAAGUUUAUGACUGAUUCCUUGGUACCAUUAAUUUCUAGCCACAAACAUUCUUUGCUACUUACAAAUUGGGCAAAAUCAUGUACUAUGUCAUGCAUCUUACACCACAUAAAAUCAUCAUCGUCAUCAUAUAUUUUAAACUCUUGAAAGAAAGAGCGUGUUGCUAAGAUGUUGAAAUACUCUUCUCCAAUCAUCUCCAUUUCUUCGUCUUCUUCUGCAUUAAGGUAACCUUGAGCCAUCCACAGAUCAAUCAACUCCUCUUUAUCCAUCUCGUAGUCUUUUGGAAAGACAACACAAUAUGAGAAACACCGUUUUACCAUAGAAUUGGAGGGCAAAUCGUUAUAACUCAACAACAAAGGAGCUAAAAGACCUUGCCCAAUCUCUUCUACUUUCCACAUUUCACUAUCUAAAAUUAUUUGCCACUCUUUUUCUGUAAUUUUAGAGCGCAAGAGAUUCCCUAUUACCUUUGCAGCAAGAGGCAGGCCUUUGCACUUCCGUGCAAUUUUUCUCCCGAUUGGUUCUAAUUUUUCACGAUCCUCAAAGGACCUACGUAGAAAUGCUAUCUGCUUAAACAGUAACCAACAUUCCCCUUCACCCAACUCCUUGACAGGGAUAAUAUCUAUUGAUCCCAACUGUAGUGCAACUGACCUAUCACGUGUGGUAAUUAGAAUUUUACUUUCAUGGCGGCCAUUCUUUAGACAAGAAAAGAAUAGGUCCCAUUUUUUGUAAUCUCCAUCCCACACAUCAUCUAAAACAAGAAAAAAUUUCUUCCCUGUAAUAUAUUCCUGAAUCUGUUUCAUAAGAGAUUCGAAUUCGCUUAAACCAGAAGCUGACACACCUAAACCUUCAAUGAUUGCUUUGGCGACCCUAAUCUCCUCAAAAGUGUCUGAUACACACACCCAUAUAACUUUGUCAAAAUUUCUUUUCACCUCAUCAUUAUUAUAGGCUAGUUGUGCAAGAGUGGUUUUACCUAUACCCCCUAACCCAACUAGUGAGAUGAUAUGAAGGCCUUCUUGUUGUUCACUACUUUCACACAACAACUUGCUUAAGAGCUUCUUUUUCUCAUCAUCUCUACCGCAAACCUCUCCCUCAUCAAUCAAGGAGAUGGUUCGCACUCGCUCUGGAUUCCUAACAUUGUUACUCACAUUCUCAACAAAAUUAAACCUAUCUUUUCGAGUGGCAAUAUCAUCUAGCUUUUCACUGAUUUCUCUAAUCUUGACAGCAAUAUGAUGACGAAGACUGAGUUGUUUGAAACCACCAAAGCAGUUUGAGGCAGCAGGAAAGAAGGAACAUACCUUCGUCAAAAAAGUAACAAAAGCACUGUCGUUAUCAUCAUCAUCAUCAUCGCCUCGCUCAUCAAGCUGCAAUUUCCGUGUUUCAGUGAUCCACUCUUCCAACACAUCUUCCAUGUCGUAGGAUGCGUCUCUGAGCUGAUCCAGCCAAAAAGUAACAGCUUUGUCCUGCUUCAUUUGCCUCUGCUCUGCAUCUUCCAGCACAGCUUGAAUGGCUUGAAGAUUGGUGGUAAGCUUUCCCACUUCAUGUUCGACACCCGUGACAAGCCUCCACUUUUCUUUCACCUGAUCUUGAGCAAUGGAUUUCAGCUGGUCCAGGAGAGAGGAAACGAUCGCAUGAGCCAUUCUGAUAUUAGAUCAAAUGGUAAAUGCUGCAAUUGCUUUUCGUGCUGCUUAAAUGCUCAGAGGAAAGUAGCUUUUAUGUAUUCUGAGAGAAUGUUCAUUCAAGCAUGUUUGGAUUCUUCUUAUACUAAUUGGAGAUAUUUUAAUUUUUACCCUCAAGUCAAUGUCAAUGUGAACGUUCUUUUGUGCUGCAAAUUGAAGGAGUCCCCACAGGAGUCACCGUCGUGGGCUAGCUUUCUGCGGAGUACACAGCAUCAGCACUUGUAAAAUUUCUUACAUUUGUAUUUAGUUACUUGCCGCUCUUAAGAUAAUUAGCAACAAAAUAUUUGUAAACUGCAACAAAAAGCUCAGUGCAAUCUAUCUAUGAAUCUUGUGAGUUCACAUAUAAUACAGUCGAUUUAGAAUAGUCAUAAAUUUUUUUUAAUUAUAAAUAGUAGUAUAUUUUUAAUGGUAUAAUAUAUAUCGAUGAAACUAUAUAGAGUAAUUUCGCCUAAUUGUAUAAAUUCAUUAUGAAUAUCAUCACAAAUUUGUAUUUGGUCGGGACCGUGCGAGUGAAAUUUUUGAUAAAAAUCAUCUCCUGACAAUUUAUUUAUUAUAUUUUUCAAUUUAGCUUUAACGUAUGGAUCCAUUCCUUUUAUUAUCAGGUAGGCCAAAGCCAUUUGGUCAUUUGAUCCAUUCCUUUUAUUAUCAGGUAGUUCAAAUUUGUAUGGAUCCAUUCCUUUAGUUGGGACUUGGAAUAAGAUUAAAGAAAAAAAAGUUAUCCAUUUAUGAGACUUUAAUUUAUGUCAUUAUUGUUUAUUUAUAUUUAAUAUUAAUCAUGAAAAUUAAUAAUACCAUCAAUUAAUUGAUUUUACAUACUUUUUUAAAUAUUUGAUAAGAAUUUGAUAAAAAAUUAAUUAAGUAUUUAAAUUUUUAUUCAUUUUUUUAUUUGUUUAUUUUAUUAUGAAUACCCAAUAACUUACAAUAUGAUUAAUUUUCUUAUUCAGACUACUCAGCAUCAGCUCCUGUAAAAUUUCUUACAUUAUAAGCAACAAAAUAUUUAUAAACUACAACAAAAAGCUUAGAUCAAUCCACCGAUGAACCUUUUGAAGUUAUAUAUAAUAUAUUAAUUAUUGAUCUAGAAUAGUCUUAGUGGAUAGAUUUUUUUAAUUAUAAAUAUCAAUAAAUUUUUUAUCGUUUAAUAGAUAUUGAUGAAAUAAUAUAGUGUAAUUUUGCCCAAUCAAAUUAAUCCAUUAUGAAUUUCAGCACAAAUUUGCAUGUGGUCUGGACCGUGCAAGUGAAAUUUUUUUAUUAUAUUUUUCAACUUGGCCGACAACAUCUUUUUGUCAGGUAGGCAAAAGCAAAAGCCAUUAUCUCUAUUAUGCCAUGACAAACUCCAAGAUCUAAUUUAGAGAGCGACAACUUUUGUUAUCAGGUAGGCAAAAGCCAUUGUCUCAUUAAUUCAUUUGGUCAUUUGAAAAAGUUGUGGCUCUGUUUUAGUCCAGUGUCAAUAUAUAACUUUAUUAUGUCAUCACAAACUUCAAAAUAUAGUUUAGAGUGUGACUCGAAUAAUUUUAAUUAGUAAUUUAUUAUAUCUACAGUCGGAUACUUUGUUGAGAAAAAAAAAAAAGAAUAAAAUCUGUCCCAUAAUGAUUUUAAUAAAUAUCAUACUAUCGUCCACGUACUUGGGCCAUCUUCAAUAUGACACCAAAUCUAACACCAAAUCACCUUUUGUAUCAUUUUUAGUAUAAAAUACUUCUCUAAUGUAACACUAAAAGCAACACCAAAAUAGUGUUAUGAAUAAUAUUGCAUCAAAUAUGGUGCAACACUAUUCAUUUGGUGCUAGGAAAAAAAAGUCCCAAAUAUCCUUACUACCUUUUCUUAUUUACAUAUAUGUCCUAUUUUAUAUAAUAUUUUAAGUUAUUAUUAUUAUUAUUUUUGUUAUUAUUUUUUUUUCAUUUUUUUAAUUUUUGAAUAUUAUACUAAAAUUUUAAAUAAAAAAUAUUUAACACAAAAAUUAAUAAUAAAAAGAAAAUGCCAAAUUUAAUAAUUUUCUAUAUUUCUUUUGUUAAUCGAUAUAAAAUUAUUUAUUACUUAAUUAUAUGUAUUAAUAGUAAUAUUUAUUGUGUUAAUUGAAUUAAUUCUUGAAAUUAAAAGAAUAAAAAGAAGAAUAUUCUUUUUGGUGUAAAUGGAUUGGAGAUGAAAUAGCAAUUUGGUGUGAAAAAAGUACAUUUUUGGUGUAGUAUCACUAUUGUGGUGAUACUAUAGUGACACAAGAUACUGACGCAAAAAUCACUGACACCAAAAAUUAGUGUCAGUGUGUUCUAGCUUGAGCAUUACUGACACAAUUAACAAGUGUCAGCAAAAGUAAUUACUGACACUAAAGUGGUGUCAGUAAAGCCCAUUUUUCUAGUAGUGAAUUUUUAACUCAAUCGCAGGGCAUAAUAGCCUAGGUUGUUCUGCAUUUGGUUCGACUCAUCGCAAGCUUGGAAACUAUAUUAUAUGUCCAAAACGAAUACUCGUAACCCAAUUUCUAGCCUCGGAAGAUACCCUGCUUAUUCCAUGCAACAAUCUUAUAUCAACUUGCCUUCUCUGCAUCUUCAAGCACAACUUGAAUGGCUUGAAGAUUUAUGGUAAGUCACAAGCAGCAAAGGAGUUCAGCUGCUCCGGGAGAGGGGAAGCGAUCACAUCCAUUCUGGCAAAGAAAAGGAGAAAUAAUUUCAUAAGUUGUUCAACGUGCUUUUGUUGCAAAAAUACUGAAAGAAACGAGUUGUUGCAUUCUUCUUACACUACACGAAAAAUGUUUAUGGUUAUUGUCGCCUAACCCACGCGUCAAUAAUUUUAGCAUUUUUAAUUUUCCUGAUUCUACUCCACAUCUGUGAUACAUAAUUGUAAAUAUUCUCUAAUUAAUUUGUAGUGGUCGGGCCAGUGCCAUUUAAAACGAAAACAAAAAACCAAAAGAAAAAAAAAACAAAAGUUGGAAAAAAGCAUGCAUCACCGAUAAUUCAUUUAUUUAUUUGAGGACGGGGAUAUUUUCUACCUACUUAUUUUACAAAUCUACCUCGCUGUCAGAAAAUAAUUGUAAUACGUUCAUACUAUUUUUAAAAUAUAUAAAUCAAUAAAACGUAUAGACAAUCAAUAAAUUAAAUCAUUCAUAUAAUUUUUUAUUUUUUUAACUUAGGUGUCUUUGACCAUUUAGGUUGCUUUAAGAUAAGUUUUAUUUGACUAAUUUACCAUGAUAAUAUAAAAUGACUAAAAUACCCCAAGAAUCAAGAGUUCUUGUAUAUAAUAGUUUAGGUAUUUUAUUUUAUUUGAUUCAAUCUCCAAACUUAUUGUAAUUACAUCUUCUUUAUUUCAAUUUUUAAAAAAUAAUUUGAACUUAUUGUAAUUAUUUCUUGAGAGUGGGGUGGGUUUACAAAAAUUAUGGGCCUUUUCGUUUAUUAAUUCUUGGAAAUUAAUGGCUCCGUAAUCAAUUUCUUUUGUUCUUUUAUUUAAAUAGAAAAGAAAAAUUAAGAGGAGCUUUUGUCUAUUGAAUUGAGGUUCUGUGAAGAAAAAUACGUAUCAAAUGAUCGACGGAUUGUACUUUUCAAUUUUUUACUUCACAGUACUUUUCUUUAUUUGCUGGGUCAUUUAUGUUUUUUUGGACGGAUUUAAGUGUGCUUAUACAUUUUAUUGAAUUUUAUUUUGAUAAAAUCACCAACGAUCAGAAGAGAUUUACACUACCUAUCUGAGUAUUUGGUUCUCUAAUGUAAGGAAGCAUGUAAUCUUUCGCCAAUAAUUUUUUAUUUCAUCAAAAUGUUAAAAUGUUGAAAGGAGAAUUAGAUUUAUUUUUUAUAUAAAAAAGAGAAUUAGAGUUCAUAUUGUAGAAAAUUCUUUUUCCUACUAUAAGUCCAGUUCGAAUCUUUGAAGCAAAUGAUCUAAUCUCAAGCAUAGAAAGUAGGAAGAUCGAUUGAACAGCGGACACAUUAACAAAAAAUAAUUACUUUAAAAAGUUAAUAUUGGAUAUCACAAAACUUUUAUUAUUAUUAUUGUAAGUUGGUAUGUUGAAAAAUAAACAAGCUUUAUAUGAACUUUAAACACAGAUAAUAAUUUGCACGUAGUAAAAUUGCUUAAUACAUCCAUUAUUUUAUCAUUUUUAACUUUAUCUAUCGGUUAUUUUCAUUUUGAAAAUAUAGGAUAAAUGAAAUAAUAACAAACACAUAUUUCAAUUGAAAAUUUAUCAACUUGAAAACACCAUUUUCAUUCUCAUAAUAUGAAUUUAAAAAUAAAAUACAGAACAUGCCCUAACAUUUUCUGAAUUUAUUUUUAUACCGUAAAAGAAUCAAAUUACUCACACAAUUAUUUUAGCUUUUAUGAUAUAAACAAAUAAUCAUUAUUUAAAUUCAAUAGAAAGAGGUAUUCUUGGUAGAAUUGACGUCUUUAGCAAAAUAUAAUCUAUUUGGGACUUCUUACUCCAUUAGGUUAAUUGGCUCAUCAUUAAUUUUCGAUUAUAAACUUUAUAUUCGAACUUUGUAAGACCAUCAUUUCUCCCUUUUUAUUUUAAAAAAAAAAUUAACUUCUUGCAUGAUCUAGGUGGUCUCCUUUCAAAAGAAACCAAAAAAAAAAAAAAAACUAAAAUAAAAGGAAAUAAAGCAUAUUCUUUAUCUUAAUUACUUUCAUUUGUUAUUGACAUGUACUCAUGCAUUGUGGUCUUUUGUAUACUUUAUCGAUAUGUUUUGCUUAAGGGAUAAAACUCAUUAUGUGGCAAAAUUUUAUUAGAGCUGGGAUUAUUUAUCUGUGUUCUAGUACUUUGAGCAUCUUACUAUACACUCGUCUAUAAAAUUUUAACAUUAAUUUUUACUACUCAUCGAAAUAUCAAAAUAGUCCUUACUAAACAUCUCUCAUUAAUGUUCUGUAACGUAUGUGAAAAAAAAAUAAUAAUAAUAAGAGGAAGCUGGGUAAUGUUUUAUGGGCGAGAGGGAUAGAGGAAGCUGUCAAACCGACCCGGAAAACCCGACCCAAAACUGCGAACCCGACCCAGACAUAUCUCCGAUUUUCGGCCACCUCACCGGCCAUGGAUGGUAGCAACGAAAGCUCCUGAGCCAGCCAUCACUUUCCCACCGUCACUGUCGCCAAAAACCAACCGAAACGCCGCCGUUUGAAGCGCGAAUAGUCGCAGCCAAAACCUAUCACGACCGUCGUUGAUUCCGUCGGAAUUAGGCCAUGCCAGACGGAGAAAUGGUAGGGGGUAAACAGAGUUUGUAACGGAGGUGGGGUAAAUGGAGGAUGAUGUAGAGAGGGCAACCAACGGCCAUGAUGAGGGAGAGGAGGAGGAGGAGGAGGAGGAGGGUGAGGUUAUGGACGGCUGUGAUGGGCUUGAGGAUGUGGGGUCCAAUGAGAGGUGAUGAUGGUGGUGAUGUUGAUGUUGAUGUGUGGUAGAGGAUGAAUGUGAGGGAAAGGUAAGUGAGGAUGGAGAGAUACGUAACUAUUAUUUAUUGAAAAUUAAUUCUUUAAAUACUUUAAAAUGUAAAAUUAUUAAAUAAAAAUUCAUUCUAUUGUUGUUAAUUCACAAAAUUUUAAUUCAAUUAUAACAUUUCUACUUAUUUUUUUAAGUUAAAUUAUAUCUUUUUUAUUUUUUUUUCUAAAUUAAACUAAUUUUUCUAUUCUUCUAUUGUCUAAAGUUUUUCGACAUAGUUUUAUUUCAAAAUAGAUAAAACAAGCACAAAAAAAAGUGAUGAAUAAAAGAAUAUAUUAAAAAGAAAUAAGAACAAAUAACAACACAACUAAUUAAGAGAAUAAUAAAAAGAUAAAAUCAUAAAUUUGAGAUGAAAUCAUAAAUUAACUUAUAUUUAUAUUAAGGCUAUUGUUUGAAAAUUUGAGUAACGACCAAUAGUCAUAGAAAAUAGAGAAAACUAUUAGAUUUUUUCUUUUUCUUCUAUAGUAAAAAGUAGAGGAAGCAAGAUUUUUUCCCCUCUCUCUCUUUCUUUCUCUCAAACACCAAGAUGUCUUCAUUAUUGGAGGAAAAAUUUAAUGGAUAAGUAAUAAAAUGUAGGGCUUUUAUAGAGGUUCAAAAUAAAUAUAAAACUUUUGAAAUAUAACUUAUUAAUUUUAACAAUGAAAUAGAUAAUUUUUAGGAUUGAAACGAUUAAUUUAUUGGUUUUGUAGAAAUUAAAACAAUUAAGUACUACAUUAAAUACACUUUAUAGGAAUUUGAUAGUUUAUUUAGAAAAAAGAUAAUUACAAAAUAAUAAUAAAUUAAAUGAAUAAUAAUGACUUUUAAAUUCAUUUUCCUCUUUUAUAUACAAAAUAAUCAUCUCAUAGGACUUUUAUAUAAAGUGGAGUUCUAUGCAACUGCCUAAGUUGCCUAGAGGUCGAGCCGCUACUGAUUACAAGCCAAUAUUGGAGUGUUGAGGUAACUAGAUAUGAAGCCAUGGCUGGUUUUUGGGGGAGAAAGAUUUGGAAGAGAUUAUGUUGAGAGGAACGGGGGAGUUCAUAAAGUUUUAGGAUAAUGUGGAGGGUAUUUUGGACAUAUUACCGUCUUAGCUUAAAUUUUGGGAAAAAGAUAAUCAAUAAUAAACUAUUUUUUCAUAUCAAUUUAAAACUCCGAGUGUGUCUCCAAAAAUUGUUUUCUUUUUUUUAUUAUUUUGGAUUUUAAAUCUUAAAUUUAGUAAAGGAAGUUAAAUCAAGUGAUCACUUUUUUUUUUCAUGCAAAGCAAUUAAUCUUUUUUGUAAUUUAAGCAAAUAUUGGGUUGCGUACUUUAACAAUAUUAAUAUUUGAUUCGAAAUUUCAUCUACCGAAACUACAAAAAUUAUUAUUUUCUAUUAAAUCAAAAACAAAAUUAAGAAAUAACUUAUUAUCUGCCAACUGUCAUUCAACAAAGCCAUCACUCAUGCAAAAAAGGGAAAAAAAAAGUGAUAUAUUCAUUUUAACGUAAUUUCAUACCAACAUAUCAUCCUUUUCUUUUGAACAAUGACCUCUUCAAUAAUAAAAUAUGGUAAAAGAGGAUGGGUUUCAGGUCUGGCGUCCGGGCCUUGGUGACAAUGGCAUCUUCUGCUCAAUCAAACUUGUGGAUUACGUGCACUCAACGUCGACAAUAUGGAAAUGGGAGAAAAUUAUGUUGAGUAACAUCUUGUAUGGUCAACGCGUCGAGUAUGGACUUGCAUGAUCGAGUCAGUACAACUAAAGUCGGGUAGAGUUUGGUAAAUCUCUAUAUUGGCUUGAGGUUGGACAACUAUACCUUUUAAGCUACAUAUUUAAACAAUUUUAGUAAAUAUUUACUAUUUUGAUUUAAAAAUUAAUUUGAUUUGAUCUCAUAUUUUAUUAUUAAAAAAUUUAUAAUAUCUUUAAUAAUUUUAUUAAAUUAUUAUUUAAAAGUCAUACAUUUACUGCACAUUAUCAACUUUCUGCUAUUUUUUUUGUUCUCACAACAGCUAGUAAUAUCAAACAAGAGCUAAGUUAAGUAUGAUCAAUUAAUUAAAGUUUUGAUUUUUUGUAUAAAAUAAUCCUUAGAUAAUUAGUCUAUAUAGAAUAUUGGCUACUUCAAAUGGAAACUUGUGAUCAAAAGUGUAAUUCCCUCUAUCAGUGAACUAUACUUGCCAGGAAAUUAACCCCAGGCGAGUACCACCACCUCCUACUAUUUCUUAGGUGUCUCAGAGUUUGAUGAGGACUUCCAUGACGUGUCUCUUCGACAGGCAGCGAAAUUGGGCAAUUGACUACAUUAACUCCAACAAAUUUAUGCAGUCACCUUCCUCCGGACUAUCCUCUUUCUUCGCGCUUUAGUUGCCCUUAUUUCCCCUUUAAUACAGUCAACAUUAUCUUGUUUGAUGCCAAGGAGACCAAGCCCAGAAACAAUGGCAUUCUUUGAUAUCAACCACCUGGGGACUUUUGAGCUGAGCCAUGACAUCCUGAGAUGGCCUGUUGUGUAAGCCUUCUUCAAAAGGUCAUCCGUUAAUCUUUCUCCUAAUUAGACAUUCAAAACCCUGCAUGGAAUCGAUUUGAGAAGUUGGACAAUAGACAAACUCCAACACAUAUAGACAGUAAAGAAGAAUUUAGACCGCAAUCACUGUGGCUCAACAAAUGGGCCUAUUAAAGCCUAUUAAAAGUUGGAACCAUAUUCACCACUCGCAUUUCCUUAAGAGAGCUAUACCAGAAUUCUGUAAAUUUAAAACUUUUCUUACAUAAUUAACUGUAAAACAAGAGAAAUUGUACUUCCGUAGCAAAGUCUCACUAUUGGUAAGUAUCUGGACUUGGAAAGGAUGCUAGUUGAUGAAGUAAAGGAAAAUUGAAAUCAGACUUUGAGGUGACAGAUCUAUACACUUCAAUAGGAACCACAUUGACAUCAUAUGAGACAAAUAAACAUUCCCCAGUCAAAGUUUAACAAACAAAACAUUAAAACAAGAGUAGGUUGGUCUAUCAAUGUAUAUAUAGACAUGUCGAUCAAUAGACAAAUACGUAAAAGAGGGAGGGAGAGACCUCAAAGCCGUGCUACUCCAAUAACUUCAAAAUUGUUCGUGACCACUCUAUCAAAUCCACGCAAUAGUUGCAUACACUCACCGAUGGGUUUGUCACAGAUAACCUGUUAGGCAUUAAAAAUUGCCCAAAUUAAACAAAUGUUAGACCAGCUUAGACAGUAAACGGAACAAUAUUCUAAUUUUACUUUAUUUAUAACGAAUAAGUGAACAAAGGAAUAAAAAGGAAUUUUGGCAAAGAAUCCUGCAGCUAAUCCCACCAUACACCGCUCUGCAGGCUUAUUUGGGAGUCAAAAUUCUCAAAAUGUACUAAGAAAUGACAUUUGUUCACUAAUCCCACCAACAAGGAGGAAGUGACGUGAAGAGAAUUUACUAAGAAAUGCCAGUGUAUUAAUAUUGAAGGAAAACAUUCACUGACGACCAAAAUCGCUGAUAUAUGCUUAAUUUCUCACUCACUAAGAACGUUCAAUUCAUUCAAAUGAAACUUCCACAGGAAGGUCUCAUUAUUAAGGCUUUAGCUUCACCUCACAUGCUCAACAAUUCAAAUUUGAGGAUGAUAUUUCUCCAAAUGGAGGGCUCUAUUUGGCUUGCCAACAAUCUUCCUCACAACUAUCAUCCUUGCUAUAUCGGUUGCACUGAGCAAUCUUCAUUCUGACAUUUGCCCUAUUAACCUGAGUACACAAGAAUCCGAAACAACUGUUAGAAAUUUUAAUCUUUAUAUACAGCCAAAAUGGUGAAUAAGAUGAUGUACUGAUAAUAAAUACCUGAGUUAAUAAAUAAUUAAGGGGCCGGUAACAAUCUCAGCAUCUUAUCAAGUGGGGAAAGCCUUCGCAACGAAGAUGCUGCUUGCUUUCAAGCAAUAAUAACUUUCCAAUUCCAUAAGAUAGCUUAAUGCCCUUUUAAGAAUAUCUCCACCAGCCUAACAAUUAUUCAUGGAAAUCCAAUUUGCAUUUGUCGCCUUCAAUUUUCUCAUCUUUGUCUAGAGUAUUGUUUUUGCAUUAACUUAGCUAGCUUGCAAACCACCUGCAGAUGGUUUUAAAUAAUGUGUGAGAGUGUGAAUUCAAACGAAUUAAUUAAAUAUGAUGACAGGAGAAACAAAAUUAAAAUAACCACAAGAAGUAGAAAUAUACUUUUGUUAUAUUCAGAGCAUCUCCUACUGUCUUCAUUUCCCUUAGCUCUGUUUCCUUUUGAGCUCGAACGCAAUGCCUCAAGGCUCAAGAUAAUUUGAUGACCAUCAAUCUUUUUGCAGCCACAUGUAGACUUGAAAAACUGUUGGCGGCCCUAAAGAACUUGAAAAUUAGAAAAGAUUCAGAAUGAGUGACUAAAUAUUAUAAUCAAAACUAAUUAAACAAACGCGCCUUGAAAAUCUGAAACUGAAUUAAUCAAAUGUAUAUGCCCCUUCACUGCAAUUGCACGUGGUGGAAAUUUUACUGCGAAGACUUUCUCAAACCUUGAAGAUCACACUCGGCCUGACAACAAAGAAACAAAGUCAAUAUACGAAGAUGAUUUUACUAACAAGUGAGAGCUUACAAAUAUUUGAAGGAUAACGAUCACUCAUAACCCAUAUCCCCAGUAUUCCCUAAUAUUUCACUCAAGUGGGUUCAAGCUCCCAAAAUUCACUACAGUGAAAUGUCAAAACAAAACUCUCUUCUCAAAUUUGAUGAUGAUAUCUCUCGAAGGGAGGCAAAAGAAUCUAACACUGAUCAAAUUGGCUUGUGAACAAUUAAUCUUCCUCGCCAUCAUUCAUACCAGGUGCGGUGAACAAUCUUCAUUCUGACAUUUGCCUUAAUAAGCUGCUUAGUAACCUUAACCUGAUAACUCACACAAACAAAAACAACUUGCCUAAAGUUUAAUAUUUCGAGCAGAACAGUAAAGAAGAUGAUAUCUAUUGAUGCUAAAAUUUGACCUGUGUUACCCUGAUGUCAAAAGUCAUAGCAUCUCAUGUGGGCAAAAUCUUCGCAACACGAGAUGCUUGCAAAAUUGGAGCAGCAUCUUAUCACCUGUAAUUUAAUUGAGACAAUAACUUUCCCCAACCAUUUCAAUGCAUUAUUGGCAACUAAAUUCAGAGGGUGCUAAUUAAAUACCCUUUUAACAAUAUCUUCUUAUUCUUCUUCAAUCUAACAAUUAUUUGGAAAAUCUAAAUGACAAUCAUGCAUCGAUGGCAUGAAAAUUUGGCUACAAAGUAGCCUGGAAAAGGCUGCUCUCUGAAUGAGAGCAUGAAUUCAAACAAAUAUGAUGAAUGAAUAAAUAAAGGCAUAAUACCACAAGAAGUAAAACUUUUCCCCAGAUUUCUGUUUCUGUUUGUGCUAAAACCAAUGGAAACCGAUGGAAAUGAAUUUCUACGAAUUAGACAUAUCAGCCAAAACAGGUACUCCGUACAAGCAAAGUAAAAGAGGGUUACAAAAAAUUUUAAUAUUGAUAUGAUAAUUAAAAUUAUAAUGAAAAUUUCAGUUACCAUAUAAUUAAUAGAUAACUCUGUACACAAUGAUUUAUUGCAUAUUAAGAUUGUAUACCUGAAUUUUAAUUGCUAUACAAAAUAUGGUAGUAUCAUUAGGAGACCGCACCAAAUGUACCGAAUUGAAUGUGCCUUUUCACAGCCAUUGUACAAGCUUUGAAGCUUUACCACAAAUGCUUUCUCAAACCCGUGAUCAUGAUGCACCCGAGAGAUGCAAGAUAUGAAAUUGUUACUACAGCAGGCAAUAACCACAGUGUUAAAACAAAUGUUUAUACAGGAUAAAUGAUUCCAAGAAUGAAACAAGAUAGCAAUGAUGAUCUCAGCACCUUAACAUCACGCAAUAAUAAUCAUCAUGUCUUUCAAGCAGCUAUCCAUCCUCAAUUGAAACAGAGCAGAUCCGGCCAUCACUUCCUUCUUCAAAGUCCAGCAACCAAACGUUGCACAAUAACCACAGUGAUAAUCCUUGGUUACCCCAAUGUUCUCCAUAGAGUCUCCAAAGUCAAUCUAAAAAUGAAAUGCAGGUGGAAAUCAAAAUUCUAUUAACUAAAUAAAAUAUAAAGUGCAAUGCUUGUGCUUGAGCUUGCUUUAACAUCAUCAUAAUAGCGAAUUUUGAUACACCUUUACUUCUCUGUGGUUCAAUCAUUUACUUCCCUGUUCUUGUUUAUUCACAACAAGAUAUCAAUAGAAGAUGAUGGAAAUGAAAUUCUAUAAAAUAAAGCAAGUGAAUUACCAG
rnacentral:lncRNA from 1 species